CCCGUCUCCAAGUACCUGGUGCACUCGAGGCGAUGAUGCGUCUCUAGAGUCUCGGACAGUAAUGCUGUAAAAGAUUUUCAAAAAGCUCCACUGAUACUGAGUUGGUAAAUACACAUUGCACGGCGGGAACCAUCACAGUGAGAUAGUUGAUUUCUCCUGGGUCCGAAAAAGAAAGUUUAAAAAUAGACCAUCAAAUAUAUGUAUAUAAAAGCAGAUCGUGUGGAAGAAAGGAUCAAGAGGUAAAGCCAGACCCUGCUUCUAUUUUCUGAAGGCAUCAAUUAAUCAGAAGGUGACGAAGGAGGGGAUGGAACAUAUUGUGAGAAGACAAAGCUAUAGGAAAAAAAAAGGGAAUCUACGGCAUGACCUGGUUUAUUAUAAUGCCUUUUUCAAAGGAAGAAACUGAAAGAUGAGAAACAACACGAAUUGGGAUUGCCGAAGAAAGAAGAGUCUUUAAGUUUCGAAGCAAAUAAGGAUGUCAAAGGAAAGGGAAAAGUAUAGCAGUAAGUGCCGAGGAAAUAUUGAAAAGUUGGUGAAUAUUUUUCAUUGAAUCUUGAACAAUUUGCCAAACCAUUAUCAAGAUCACCACUAUUCUCUAAAAGGAGAUGAAUUGAUCACGAUCUCUGUAUAAGUAUGAAAAAAAGGAGAAUGGCUUUUGCGACGAAGGCUACCCUUGAAUCGAAUGGCCAGCGGUUUGUCCUCGCUGGGAGGAAUCCUUUCUUAGGAAAGAUUCUUACCCAUGUAAUCCAGAUCGGCGCGGACCUGGUUCGCGAGGAUACGAGAACGAGCGGCAUCCGUACGUCGACGACGUCGUCGACGUCGGACGGGCAACUGUUCCGUC